CAGUCAUCAGAGUUUCGGUAACACGGCCCCGAGUGUGUCAGAGGUGGGGCAUGAGUGUCAUGUCAGCGGUGGAUGAGUGUGUCAGCGGUGGACAUUUCCCGACUGGCCUAUGACCAGUGGCCCUGGGCGCUUUUGUGCCAUCUUUACAGCGUCCGACUGCAGCAUGGACGACACACUCUUGUGGUGUUGUGCUGACACAGUUGGCCGUUUGCUCGAGACCAAAACAAGAAACUAACCACCUAAACCGAUCUAAAAGUGACACUGUUGGCGUCUAGCCCUGAAAAAAAAAGUUUCGAUUCGAUCGUGGGGACUUUGGAGACUCGACAAAACCGUGGAGCAACGGGGUUUUGUCCGAGAUAAAGAGGUCUUUUUGGUGGUUCCGACGAGAGGAUCUCAGUGCACUUGGCGGAUUUCCCACACCCACAGCCUCUUGGGUAGGCCUCCCAGCCUUUGGCACAACCUUGUCCAAGCAGAAGCUGUGAAAAUCCACUAACGCACCCAACUACCGCAUUCAGCGGUUUACAACGGCUGUUGGUGAAUCGCUCGCCGCGAUUACAUGGUCGAGCAACUACUGCACUCGCACAUAUGACCAUGUUCUCACCCAUCAGACGCUAUGGUCUGCAGCAGCAGUGCACAUAUCCGCCGCUGUCUCCUGUUUGCAUCUUUCUUUUGCUCGUAUGGCGUAUUGUCCAAGUCAAUGAAAAAGCCAAUCUCGACGAUCACCACGAUGGAACGGCUCUGAUUGGCUCGGGGUCAUGUGACUGGUCUUGUUGGCGUCUGUCGCCGCUCUGUCGCACCUCUAUCUCGGUCUAGAUUUAUCAUAGGUUUCACUUAUGAUCGCUAAGGAGUGGACAGGGAGGUUGUGUAGUCAGUAAGAUUCGGUGCGAGUAUCAGUACGAGUGCAGUACAUACCAGUACAAUACCAGUAUUGCCUUCUUGCACCAUGGUUUCCCUCUCUCAGUCACAGGCUUCAAGGGUAAAUUCCAUCAACUCGAAUCGGCUGUGACAACAAAGGGAAGUUUUCAAGCUGACGAAAAGUUCGACAGAUUACAGAUUCGACCGAACAUUGUCUACACCACUCACCUGGGUUGGAGAGAAAUGAGAGACGCCAUCGUAGACACGGCCAAGGCUCCCGAUUGGUGGCUCUUCGUCAUACUGAUCAUCAUGUUCGUCCUAUUGAUUGUGCCAGUCAAAGUGUUUCCUGUAGACACCCCUGUUUGGUGUAUUGUUCUUUUCAUGGGAUUGGUUCCUGUGCGCUCUCAAUGGGCAGUCUGAGCCCAUGAUUGGAUAUGCCAUGCCUGGGCGGUUCAUGGCUGUCAAUCUCUUCAAAGCAAGCCCAAGAGUACCCCCAGAUUGAUCUUCUGGCUGCUACUCUGUGCCACGUUGGUGAAUGGAGUGGUUGUAUUGGACGUCAUUGUUCACCUUUCCUGGCCAAACCACCUUCUUCACCGCCUCGGUUGCUUGGGGCGUUAUUGGACCGGCGAAGACUUUCGAAUAGUAUACUAUGAAGUGGAUAUUCUUGUUUGGAUCAUGUGUCGGACUCUUCUUCUACCCAGCUGAUGACCAAGUGGUGGCCCAAACACGCAGACAGAAUCGACUUUUACCGAUGCAAAUACCUCUACUUCAACCCUCCGAUGUUUGUUAUGGGACUUGUCGACGAUUGGGCAAGUGACCUACAGAGUCGGAGGUUUGUAUCUCGCUCUGCCGAAUCUGGCAUGGUGGAGAAAGUGUGCUUACAUGGAGGACACCAUUGUGACUGGCAUCGCCCUGUCGGCAAUCAUCUUCUUCUACUCGGUCCAACACCAUCCAAAACGGAUUGGUGGGAUAGUGGGGUAAUAACGCAACGUUAUUGGAAUCGGAUAUGAUGGAGAAGACAUUCCUCCGAAUGCACCGCCCUCCAGAGGGCUCGGAUACAAACCAGGAGUCCAAGUGGGUGAGAGUGGUGGGUGAGAGUGGUGGAUGAGAUGAUUGGUGACGCCACGGGUUCCGCUGCUGCUCCUAGUAUGUCGUCAAUGGGUUGUAUUCAGAAACUUCAGCGGCCCGACCCUCGUGCAACCAAGAUCAUCAUCUAGCUCAGUCCGAUGCCACUGUCGAAACAGUGAUUGGUUUCAAGCAUGUGGUGAUUGAUCCGGGUCUUUGAUACACUCCGGCGGAGGAUAACGUGAUUGUCAUUAGUUCAAGAAGUCUUUGAACACUCUCGAAAUGCCAGAUGGCUGAGGUAGAAAGACCACAGCCUUGUGUAUGUGAUGAACAGUCGCAGAGAGGGCGUUUGAAAGAUCUACAGACUCAAUGGGGUCCGUGUCUUUGCGUUUCUGUCGGGCGUAGUUGAUCUGGUUUCGUAACGAACGGCUAUCCACAUCUCUGCUCUGGGUGAAGCACAACCAAUGAGUAUCAUGACAAGUGACGAGCAAUAAAAAAGGCGAGCAAUAAAAAAGGCGAACAAUAAAAAGAGCAAUGAACCUGCAUGAAUGGCAAUUGGACCUUUUCGACAGCAGAAACCGAAAGCACCCCUUCUACUUUACACCUCUACUCUCCCUACAGUCUUUCCGGUACAGUACAGGCUCUCUGGCUUGUAAGCAGACCAUGGUCGUGUGAGCGAAUUUUGUUCUCCCGAUGAGUCUCCAAGACUCUGGUUAUCGGAACGCCCCAAGCAAGUGAUGUAAGUUGUUAUUGUUU
rnacentral:misc_RNA from 1 species